rnacentral:rRNA from 1 species
GUCGAGGGGUAACAGAGAGAAGCUCGCUUUUCUGCUGACGACCGGCGCACGGGUGCGUAACGCGUAUACAAUCUGCCUUAUACAAAGGGAUAGCCUUUAGAAAUGAAGAUUAAUACCUUAUAGUCUAUUUUUAUAGCAUUAUUUAAAUAGUAAAGCUUCGGUGGUAUAAGAUGAGUAUGCGUCCUAUUAGUUAGUUGGUAAGGUAACGGCUUACCAAGACAACGAUAGGUAGGGGCCCUGAGAGGGGGAUCCCCCACACUGGUACUGAGACACGGACCAGACUCCUACGGGAGGCAGCAGUGAGGAAUAUUGGACAAUGGAGGCAACUCUGAUCCAGCCAUGCCGCGUGCAGGAAGACGGCCCUAUGGGUUGUAAACUGCUUUUAUAUAGGAAGAAACCUUUUCACGUGUGAGAAGCUGACGGUACUAUAAGAAUAAGGACCGGCUAACUCCGUGCCAGCAGCCGCGGUAAUACGGAGGGUCCGAGCGUUAUCCGGAAUCAUUGGGUUUAAAGGGUCCGUAGGCGGGAAUCUAAGUCAGUGGUGAAAUCUUGCAGCUCAACUGUAAAAUUGCCAUUGAUACUGGAUUUCUUGAAUUAGUGUGAAGUGAUUAGAAUGUGUAGUGUAGCGGUGAAAUGCAUAGAUAUUACACAGAAUACCAAUUGCGAAGGCAGAUCACUAACACUAUAUUGACGCUGAGGGACGAAAGCGUGGGGAGCGAACAGGAUUAGAUACCCUGUAGUCCACGCCGUAAACGAUGGAUACUAGCUGUUCGAUCUUCGGAUUGAGUGGCUAAGCGAAAGUGAUAAGUAUCCCACCUGGGGAGUACGUUC